GAUGAACGCUGGCGGCGUGCCUAAUACAUGCAAGUCGAGCGAACGUACGAGAAGCUUGCUUCUCUGAUUUUAGCGGCGGACGGGUGAUUAACACGUGGAUAACCUACCUAUAAGACUGUGAUAACUUCGGGAAACCGUCGCUAAUACCGGAUAAUAUUUUGAACCUCAUGGUUCAAACGUGAAAGACGGUCUUGCUUUCACUUAUUGAUUCAUCCGCGCUGCAUUAGCUAGUUGGUAAGGUAACGACUUACCAAGCCAACGAUGCAUAGCCGACCUGAGAGGAUGAUCGGCCACACGGGAAAGAAGACACGGACCAAAAUCGGAAGGGAGGCAGCAGUAGAGAAUCUUCCGGAAGGGGCGAAAGGCUGACGGAGCAAAGGGGCGAGAGUGAGGAAGGGCUUCGGAGCGUAAAAGUUUGUUAUUAGGGAAGAACAUAAGUGUAAGUAACUGGGCACAUAUUGACGGUACCGAAGAAGAAAGCCACGGCUAACUACGU
rnacentral:rRNA from 1 species